UUUGGAAGGAAAAAGGUGUGCUCGUUGUCAAUAUGUGUCCUGCUUUGGAAAACAUCCCGUGAUAUCACACACCUCAUUCUUCUUUUGUAUGUGGUCACUAUCGAUCCUCACUCUUAAAGUUCUCACUUUCAUUCAUCAACCAACAUAAAGUAUUGUUUCCAUUUGGAACAUUUUGUGUCUUUGAAAGUGUUUUUAGAGCUGUUUUCUGCAAUGGUUUGAUAUUUUGGUGUGAUGUAAAUAAAGGCAGCUAUUCACCAGUGCAACGUAUAUUGAAGCACAUUGAUGUGGCCCCAACAGAGUGGGAAUGCUGCAUGAAGUUCUUUCAGUAUUUAUGUCCAGUGCGUCUGACUGAGUUUUAAAAGCAAUAUGCAGUGAGGCAUGGCUACUUCCUCUACUGUGAUGUUGUUCUCUAGGGUCAUUCAAGAUCAUGUUCACAAGGCCUGAUUCCUGGAUAUCAAUACAGAACAAGCUCAAAACCUAGCUGCUAAACACAAAGGGAAAUAAGAAAUUAACUUUUAAGUAUUUCCUUACAUUAUUUUUGUGCUAAAUCUAUUUACUCCUACUUUGUUUUAAUUAUCAAAACACUAAUUUUUUUUUAACGUUUGCACAGUAGAGGGAGCUGGAAGUUUAAAAUAUGUAUUCAGUGUUUAACUGUUGCCUGUAAAGAUGAGAAAUGUCAGUGGAAUAACAAAUGAGGUUUUAGCAUUGCAGGAAGAUGAUGGACAUUUAUUCCAAGCCAUUAAGUUCAAUGAGUCAGAGGAUUUUAAGUCAGUGGUGUUAAUGGUCUUACCUGGGAGCACUACCAUGAGACAGCAGAGGCUGCUCAGCCAUAUGCUUUGCAGCUGAUUUUAUUAAACUACAGCUGGCAUUGGCUCCUUGAUGCUGUUUGUGUUCAGAAAUACUCUUUUAAUGGAAAAAUUUAAAUAUAUAUAUUUCAGUUACCUUUUAACUAAAUAAUCUUUCCAGAUUCUGUAAGUGUUGAGGUUUUUUUCUCCAUCUUUGUAUUUUAGUUGCUGUCAAACUCAUUUCAGUUGAGCCUGAGAUUCAGUCCAUUGGAGCUGCCAGUAUAAAGGCACAUGUACUUGCCCUUGAGCCUAUUUCUAUGAACACAAUCUUCUCCCAUCUCCAUUAGACUAAACUAUUUACGGAAAACCCAUUUUGAUAAAACCAGGCAAGGGAGAGGGUGCAUGUUUAGCUGGUCUGUUAGAGUUGAAAGAAAGUGUUAUCUCUUGCCGUCCCAGAGCUCCAGGCACCAUGCACAUCCUAAUGAAAAGUCCCUCAGUCAGUGUUUAUUUCCAAUGCACAUGAGAAUCAUUAAGAAACCCUCUAAAAAAAAGCCCUGUUUUCCUCACUGUCCUUUGACUGCGUUAGAAAAAUUACCUACCUGGCAGCAACUCUACCUGAUCCUGCCAUUUCAGAGGCAUCUCUGACCACAUGCAGAGAAAUAUAGAGCAGCACCUCUACUCUGGUGAGGGUAGAACUUCUUUUAAGCAAUUCACCUGGGGCUCAGCUGCUUUCUUAACUGCAGAGAGGGUCCAGCUUCACUUGGUGCCAUUUGGGGCACAUCUGCUGCAUGGCCUCUGCUGCAGCAUGGCCUCUCUGCAUGGGAGCAGCAGAGUAUAGCAGAGGAGGUGAGGAGACCUCAACACACAGCUUGGGCACAUCAUUAUACCACAUCUGACCAAAGCUGCAAUGACGUCUGGGGGUGUGAGUUCUUGUGGCUCUUACAGUUGGGGAAGAGUAAUUUUUCCUUCAUAUCCCUUGUUUGGGAAUUAGAGAGAUCUAGUGGUAAUGUAAGUGUACAAAGGUGUCUACAAAAGGCAGAUGAGGAACAGCUUUGAAGGAUCUUUUAAGUGAAGACAAGAAAUUUGAAAAAACAAAUUUAAAGCAGUAGGACUUUCUUAUUGUGGUGAGCUGGUGGGAGUGCCUGACACUGAUGGCAAAAGUGUUUAUUGUGAAUUGAGUUAAUACAGGAUGUGACAGAACGAGAGCUCUAGCUGCAUGGACAGUCACAUCUCAGGCAAGGGGAGAGAAAGGCACAGAAAAGAUCAACAGUUUGAUUUGUGAGCUUAAAGAUGAGCUUAAAUUUGUAAGUGGCACUUUGGAAACAGAAUAUGGCACUUUUAUAUCAGAUCUGUGCUGUUGUUACCUGUAUGAUUCAAAGAGAUGGCUUUAUAAGCAAUUAUUUAAUCACAAUAUAUCAUAUACUCUGCUGUUUCUUUGCAGGUGACUGCAGGAAUGACAGUUUAGGCUGUUACCACAGGGUGUCUCUCCUUGGUAGAGUCUGGCAUUCUAUCUGCUGUGACCCAUAUAGUUUUCCCCGCUGAUAAUUACUUUCUCUUAUCUGGUCAAGAAAAUUCCCUUCAAAGGAUUUCUUUGAUUGAGGAAAUUCAUUAAUAUGAUCUUGAGAUAAUAUUAAUGCUUCUUUGCUUGAGUCUUCUCAGUUACUCUUUGAACAGCACAUUUUUCCAUAGUUUAUUAAGGAAGAUUAGCAUCUUUUGAAGUUUACUUUAAUGGAAGACCUUCUAUCAAUUAAUUAAUAUUUUCUAGGUUCCAGAAAAAAAAAGUAGUUGAGAAAAGUAAAUCUGUGUAUUAUUAUUGCAGGAAACAUCUGUGCCCACCUCUUAACACAGAUUUAUGUAAACCCUUGGAACUGUUCACCCAAGGAAUGAUCUCAUGCUCAGGCUUCCUGAACCCAUCUCACAAACUGUCAUACUCAUAAUCAGCAAAACAGGCAAAUGAAAGAAAUGUUCAAGAAAUUAAGGUUCUUUUGGCUCUACGAGGAGCAGUUAAAAGGUGUGAUUGUUAAUAGUUCCCACGAGAUGGCUCCCGAGGUACAGAAGUGAUGCAGUGCCCAGCAUGGAUUAGGUUCAUGACCAGCAACUCUAUCAUGUCGUAAAACACUACUGCAGAGAACAACAAAACCAUAACUUUAGCCCAGACUCCACCGAGGAUAAACAUUACCACAGGGAGCACAUACACCGAGAGCGGUGUUAUAUAACAUGCCUGUGAGCACGUAUGCAAAUGAAAUAACAUGGUGACCAGCAACUACUAAACCAAUAAAAUUGUUGCUUAUAAUUAAUUUGUUUUAACAUGCUCUGAUCAGGUCUGUUUUUAUCUCAAUCCUCCGGGCCCUAUGUUGGGCACCAAAAAUGUCUGUCAUUGUUUAACUGCAGCCCUAACUAAGCACCACACAGCUGCUACCUCACUACCCUUGCCCCAGUGGAGAGGAGAAUUGGAAAGAAUAGGUAAGCCUUAUGUGUUAAGAUAAGUACAGCUGAAUAAUCAAAACAAAAUAAAAUAUACUAUUACUACAACUAAUGAUAAUGACAACUGUAAUGGAAAAAAGAGACAGAGAGCAAUAAACCCCAAAAGAAACAACUGAUGCAUAGUACCGUUGCUCACCGCCUGAAGCCCAGCCCUUCCCCCAGGAGCGAUCAGCCCCUCCUAGCCAACUCCCCCCAGUUCAUAUACUGGGCAUGAUGCUCUAUUGUAUGGGAUAUCCCUUUGGCCAGCAGGUCAGCUGUCCUGGACAUGCUCCCUCCCAGCUUCCUGUUCACCUGCUAACUGAUGGAGCAUGGGAAAUUGAAAAGUCCUUGGUUCAGGGUAAGCCCUGCUGAGCAACAGUUAAACCAUCAGUUUCUUACCAACAUGAGUCUCACACUGAAUCCAAAACACAGCACUGCACCAGCUAUGAAGAAGAAAAUUAACUCUAUCCUAGCCAAAACCAGGCCGGAUCUUUUUAUUUAUUUCUUCCAGAAAGGAAGAAAUAUUACAAGAAAUCUGUUAAAGGAAAUUUAUUAAUUUAAGAGAUGGAAUUUCUGUCUCAACAGAUGAAUGCAGUUUUUCUCACAAGCUCAGUCAUACGCCUUUACUUUAUUCAGAAUUGGAAUAGCAAUGUUCUGAAGAGUAGAAAAAAAAAUGAACAGAGUUGGUUCCAACAGAGGAAGAGCUAAGACAUAUGUGCAGAAGACAGAACAAGUUUAAACUAUUUGGAGAUGUUUGAGACACAUCAUUUUCUCAAAUGAGAGUUGUGGUCACUUGGCACACUGAGAUAUUCUCUGUCAUUUGAGUGCUGCAUUUUUCCACGGAAUGGAAAUUUAUGGGAUUUCUCAUUUAAGAAGUGUCCUAGGACCUGUCUUGCUCAGCCCUAAAGCCAGUCUUUCAUGCAUCUGGGAAGGACCAUUAUUCUGUUUUCAUGGUGGGUUUAUGUUGCUGUCUCACCAAUCUCUGUGGAGUCAGCUGAAUUCCAAUGGUUAUAAAAUGAUCCUUCAGGUGGCUGUAAGACUACUGGUAACACAAUCCUAUAAUAUCUCAGACUUAACUCUGUAAGAUUUUGUAUGAAAAUAACUUAAACAGUGUUAUUAUUUCU